rnacentral:rRNA from 1 species
AUGGACGUUAAAGUUGCCUGCCGGACAAGAGGAGGAGGCUGGUUGUGCACUUGGUGUGCCGCUGCUGAUGAGAGCCGAAAGGAGCAGGAGGGGUUGGAGAGGGUGAGAGAGUCGAUCUGGAGGAGGAAGAGAAGAGUGCCGACGACAAGUAUAGAUGGAGCUGCACCGCGUGUGGUGGUACAGGACGAGACCACCGGCCGAAGGAGCGCCCACCAAGUGUUCGAUUCUUUUCCCAAGUGGGAUACUCAAAACUCGAGGGUGCUAUACUGCUAUUUGGUGAAAUUGAUGGCAAGAAACCAACGUCGGUCUGUGAAAGCCCAACAUCUUUGUGCUUCUGCCUUAGAUAAUUUAUACUUAGAAGUACUGAGACUACCACCUUUUGGUGAUCGAUUUAUUAAUCAGAUGGGUACAAUUAUCAGUUUUGUAGCUGUGCCAAAUGAGCAUUUGGGUGUAACAUCUAGCCGUUUUUGA